CAGCCGCCGCGGGAAUACGAAGGGGGCUAGCGUUGCUCGGAAUUACUGGGCGUAAAGGGCGCGUAGGCGGACAGUUCAGUCGGGGGUGAAAGCCCGGGGCUCAACCUCGGAAUUGCCUUCGAUACUGGCUGUCUUGAGUAUGAGAGAGGUGUGUGGAACUCCGAGUGUAGAGGUGAAAUUCGUAGAUAUUCGGAAGAACACCAGUGGCGAAGGCAAUCCCCUGGGCCUGCACUGACGCUCAUGCACGAAAGCGUGGGGAGCAAACAGGAUUAGAUACCCGUGUAGUCCCUGUCUCUAUACA
rnacentral:rRNA from 1 species